rfam:Purpureocillium lilacinum isolate PLFJ-1 scaffold00007, whole genome shotgun sequence.
GGUGAGAUGGCCGAGUUGGUUAUGGCGUCAGGUUAAGGUUAAAAUCUUAGCAUUAAUUUCCUGAUGGAGCAAUCCUCCUGGGUUCGAGUCCCAGUCUCAUCA